AUUGAACGCUGGCGGCAGGCCUAACACAUGCAAGUCGGGCGUGAGGAGGACGGGGGAGUAAUGUAUGGGGACUGCCUGAUGGCGGGGGAUAACUACUGGAAACGAUCGCUAAACCCGCAUCCCCUCAGAUAACACAUAUGGGAUUAGAUUGUAGGUGUGGUAACGGCUCACCUAGGCGACGAUCCCUCGCUGGUCUGAGAGGAUGAUCAGCCAACCUGGGACUGAGACACGGCCCAGACUCCUACGGAGGCAGCAGUGGGGAAUAUUGCACAAUGGGCGCAAGCCUGAUGCAGCCAUGCCGCGUGUAUGAAGAAGGCCUUCGGGUUGUAAAGUACUUUCAGUCGGGAGGCGUUACCGACAGAAGAAGCACCGGCUAACUCCGUGCCAGCCGCCGCGGUAAUAC
rnacentral:rRNA from 1 species